rnacentral:lncRNA from 1 species
UCUAGUUUUUUUUUAGAGUUAAAUUGGUAAUUUAAUUAUUUUCUUUUUAUUAAUGUCCAAACAAAAAAAUUAUUAUAAGAGGGUAAUAUUGUAAAAGUAAGACCCAAGAAAUAAAAAGUAACGGUAGGGGUAUCAAUACUUUAACGGCAGGGAUGUUUCGAUGCAUUUUAAAAAAUAUAGGGACUAAAUGGAUAUUAAUCUUAAAAUAUAAGGACUAAAUGAGUUUUUACCCCCAAGAAUCAAUAACAAGUUAUUGGAAGUAUACUUGAAUCCAUAACGCUGAAUUGUUCUCUUGAUUUGUGUGGUUGAUCUUUUAGAUCAACACGUUCUCCUAGAAAUUCUUUUACUUUUCUCUGGGUUCUCUCUCUCUGAUGAUGUGAUGUUAAUAGAGAAUAGAAAAGCACGUGUGACUUCCAAGGUGUUAAUGAACCUUUACAAUCAAAAGAUUAUCUUCCCAAUAUCUUCACCCCAAGUGUUUCUCAUACUUAUACACUCACAAUUUGAUAAGAAAUGAAAAUUACAACAAAAAGUCUCUUUAAGAGUGGAUAUGCAAAUAAUAGCACAAUAAUGAUUCAAUAAAUGAUGAUUUGCGAAAUGGAAGCUCAAUAUGUGUUAUAUGAUCUUGUUUAUGCUUGCAUUUGUCUCUAAAAUGAAGUUGAAGUUGGGUUUUUUAUAAGUAACACCUGAAAACUAGUCGUUAUAGGUAAAUUCUAACGCUCAAGCGGUUAGCCGCUUGAUUUAUCUGGCUAGCCGCUCUAGAAUAGUAAUGCUACGGUACCACUGUUCAUAAAAUUAUAUUUGUGCUUAAAACUUUCUAUAAUUAUACUAUGACCCAAAACGUCAUAAAACUUUAUAAAUAUGUCCAAUCUCAGAAUUUCUAAAUAAUGCUUGUCAUUCCUAAAAUUUUCUAAAAUUAUGCCAUGGCCCAAAAUAUAAUAAUAUUUUUUAAAGAAGUCCUUUUCAAAAUUAAACAUAAUACCCCUAAAUUUCAAAGUUCUCAAAUCUUUUCAAUUUAGUCCAAAUUUGAAAAUAUGAGAUUUUCCUCAGGUGGCUAGCCGCUGGUCCUCAAACGAUUAGCCACUCACUCUCUGUGCAAUUUUGGAUUUCAAAUGUUUGGAUUACAUUUGGAUCCUCAAACUUUCAUAAAUUAUAGUAUGGCCCAAAAUGUUUUAAAUAUUUACAAAUAUGUCCAACUUUAGAAUUCAAAAUAAUACUUAUUAAAUUCAAAGAUUACAAAAAAUUUUAUUUUAGUCCAAAUUACUCAAAUCCACAAAAUAUAUAAAUAUAAAACCUUUUAGUUUAUGAAAAGUAAUUAUUUAAAUAAACUCUUAAGUUUCUCAAAUGCUAAAUUAUGAAUCAAUUAAAUCAUACUGGCUUUACAAGAAUUUGUCGCAAUAAUUAGUCCGUUGAGCUCCAAAUUUUAUUCUUGAUUGCAUCGUUGUCCGUUGAGUGUCUUGAACUUGAUUUCACUUGAUUCACUUGCAUAAAUAUUAUCCUUAAAAAAUUAGUGAAAAUGUGAAAUAUAAUAUUUAUUAAAUUACUUAAGACACAUGUUUGUGAUCAUCAAAAUUACAUUAUGUGUAGCCCUUUAGGCUAACACUCUAUACAUUAGAAGCUCACACCAUAUUAGAUACAUGAAAUCCUAUAAUACUGAAAACCUUAAUAGAUCACUUUUAAUUGGGCUAACCUUAUAUGACAGUCCAUAACGCAUAAUUAUUCACUUAUAAGCCCAACGUUAGAUUAAAAAAUCCAACAUUUUAACCUUUGUUGGAGCUGGAAAGCAACUAGUUUUGUCACACAAGAAGUUCAAUUCAAUUUUGCAAACCCUAGGACUUGGCAAUUUUCUCUGGCCAAUCACAUAAGAAUAACAGUAAGUUAAAAUUUUCUUUUUACAUUAUUCUUUAUAUGAUAUGUAAUUUUUUUCUAUGAUAUGUAAUUUAUUUUUAAUUUGUUGCCUGAACUUUUGAAAAAUGUAGAAUAUGAGAAUUAUUACCCAAAAAAGAAGAAAAAAAUCCUAAGGGUGUUAACAUAUAUGCUUCCAUAAUGUUAAUUUUGAUGAAAACAAACAAUAUUAAGAAUGAUUAAUCUUUUAAGCUCAAAUUGUAAGGGGAGCUUACAUUUAGGGGGAGCAAUUUGUGGAAUCAUUCUUUAAAUACAUGAAAGGUUUGUCAUCAUCAAAACGGAAGAGAUUGUUAACAUUUAUGUAUCCAUAAUGAUGAUUUUGAUGAUAACAAAUAAAAUUAAGAAUGAUUAAGUUUUUAAAAGUACAAAUUAUUUUUUAUACAUUUUAAAUAAAUCAUUAUUUUCAAAUUAUAAAGGUUUUAUAUUUAAUGGAAAAAUGAUUUUAUAAAAUUGGUUGUUUUUCAAGUUUAUGGUCUAAUUGAAAGAGUUUUGAAAACUUUAAAAUCAACAAGUAUUGCUUGGAAUUCUAGAGAUUAGAGAAUGACUUAUUUGAAAAGUUUCAUAGCAUUUUGAGCCAUAUCAUAAUUUUAAAAAGUUUUGGGAAUAACAAACAUUAUUUAGAAAUUCUGAAAAUGGACCUUUGUGCAAAGUUUUAUGAUGUUUUGGGUCAUGUUGUAAUUCUAUAACGUUUUGGGCCAAAAACUAUAAUUUUAGAAAAUAAUUCACUGUAGUUGUCAAUGUAGCAAAGCGGCUAACCUGAUUUGACAAGCGGCAGCCGGAUUAUGGGCAGAAGCUCUCUGGAAUGAAAGCGGCUAAUCAGAUUCCGAAAGCGGCAUGCCAAAUGUUCUAAAAUUCAAAUAUUUGUUGUAACGGUAAAUAAAAACGGCUAACCGGAUUCACAAAGCAGCAAGCCGAUUAUCACCAGAAAGCUUAUAACGGCUAGUUUUUGGGCUCAAACUAUAUAAACUCAAAUCCAAUUCAUUUUUGGCAAUCUUUGCAAGCAUAAACAAGUGCACACAACAUAUAUUGAGCUUCAAUUUCGCAAGUCAUCAUAAAUUAAAUUUUAAUUGAGCUAUCGUUUGUAUAUCCACUAUAAAAAAGAGUUGUUUGUUGUAAUUUUUAUUUCUAAUCAAAUUGUGAGUGUACAAGUGUGAUAAACACUUGGAGUGAAGAGAUUGGAGAGAUAAUCUCUUGAUUGUAAAGGUUCAUUGACACAUUGGAAGUCAAUUGUAAAGAACUUGAAGACUUGGGAGGUUUGGAUAGUGAAAUCCUCAAGCCGGGUGAGCUUGGAGGCGUGGACGUAGGCGGGGAUUGCCGAACCAUGUAAAAAUCAUUGUAUUUGUUUUAUUUUCCUUACUCUCUUAUUAUUGUGCUUUAUUGAAUUUAUUAUUUUUUAUUCCAUUAAGGAAUUAGAUUAAAUUGUUGUGUGGUUUGCUUAGCUUAAAUUUUAAAAUUCCAAUUCACCCCCCUCUUGGGUUGUCUAGUUAGUAUUUCAGAGGGCAAAUGAGCAAAAAUCUACGUCCAAAGUAUGUCAUCUUCACAGUGUUAUUUGUGUUUGUUUAUGUGUAUUUAUUUGAAGGAUUAAAUUUUUGUUUGAGGUAAUAUGUGCUGGAUUAAGUUAUGUCAUUUGUUAUUUUUGUUAUUAUUAUUUUUUCGCUUUAUCAAUUGUUCUUGCUAUUUAAAGAGUAGCUUUACAAAAUAGUGAUUGUAUCAUUGAAGGGGGAAUAUCUCUUUUAUGGGAUUUUCCAGUUUUUAUCAUUAUAACUUAAAUUCCAUGAUUGCUUAAUUUGUUGAACUUUUGAAUAUCCUCUGCUUAUGUCACAUUUAUUGAUUAAAGUGGCUUAAGAUGCUCUGAAUGUCUUAUUAGUUUGCCGUAUGAAUGAACUAGAUGCUAGGUAGACUCUACAAUAAUUAAAUAAGGCCUAAUGUAGUUUAUUAAUUUCGAACUCGUGAUUUGAUUGGUUAUGUAUGAGGUUUAACAUGUAUUAGAGUGUGUGUGUGUGUGUGUUAUUUUGUUGUUAGGUUAUGGUUUGUGUAUCAUCUUUCAAGAGAAGAAAAUUAUCUCGAGAAUGGUUAUAAGCUAGUUUUAGUCUAUGAUAACAUUUGUAGGGAUAAAUCCCUGCUCCUCUUUUCCUCUUUGUGACGAUUGUAAUGCAUUUUACUAUUUAGUUUGUGUAUUACGGUACCAAUUUAGGAUGCAUGUCAAAGUCUAAUUCCGUAUAGAUGUUUUUAUCAUUGUUCAUUUCUUUGAUGGAAUCAGAGCAUAUCCUUCUCCCCCCUCCUCUUUUUUUGUGCCUUUACAGGGGACUUUGGUACUAGUGACCAUGGGAAUUUUUAGAAAUUCACAAGGCAGUAAGCAGUUCCCAAACUUUUUAAGUUCUUUAUUGUUUCUUGAAUUUAUGUUGUCAUCAAUGCUUUUAUCUCCAAAACAGUAGGAGGAGGUCAGCAAUUUCCUUCGCUACUAUUUCCACAAUUAAUUUAUUGUUUUUUAGAAUAUACGGAUAUUGUGAAUUGGUGUUGGGUAUAGUAGUCUUUAAAAAAAAAUUGCUUACAGUAAUUUGAACAAAAAAAAGAAUUUAUAUCAAAUAUUUGAUUUUGUUGUCAAUAAGAAUGGCUACGAAUGUUUUGCAGAAUUCAGCCAGUAGGAUGCGUUUCGGUUCCUUCCUUUUACGACUAUCAUUCUACCUGAAGGUUUGUUUAAUCAAAUACUAAAAUUUCCAAACAUAUUUAUACUCCUCUUGUUGAUUUAUCAAGUUACAUCUGAAAAUUAUAUCUUAUUUUUAUAAGCAGGUGCUAAGAACAUGAAUGUUGCCACUCUUAUUUUGGCACUUGUCCGCUUUUUGGUAAUCUCUCAUAACAAAGAAUUUUGUUAAACUCCUGCAACUGAUUGUUCAUUAUUGUGAAUUACAUUUCCUGCAAGUUUCUACCAUUAGAAAAUAAUGUUGUUAACUAAUUGCUACAACGACCAGGGGAAUGUUGUAUGCAUCUGUCUAGGCAAUGAAGGAAUUCCAUAUGUUAUAAUUAAUGUCAGAGAUUGCCUUUUGAAAUGAAGCAACAAUGUUUUGUAAAUGUAGGUUUUGAUUCAUUCAAGGAUAUACAAAAUAUUUCCAUUUCAGUUAUUUCCUAUAAAUGUAAAAUUUCCACCUGGAAGCUUCGUAAUUUUAAUAUGCUAGUCAUGCUCUUCGGAUGGGUGAGGGUAAGGCGGGCUCUGAAUUAUUUACGCCCUUGGAUUGUAUUAAUUAUGUGCAGAUUUUGCAUCAUUUAGGGUCAGUGGCCUUAAACUCAGAGUUUUUUGCCUUUCCAUUGUGCUAUUUUCUUAUCAUAUAAAUGCCUUGAAAAUGUCAUUAGAAGCGACAGUAGUUUUGUUUCUUUUGCUUUGCUGAUAAGUAUAAACAGAAUUGAUAAUUUUUAUGCUUGUCCAUCUUCUUUUAAUGUCCGUGACAUUUUUAUUGGGUCGGUUAUAAUUUUGAAGUGUGAGUAAUAUUACUCUUAUAAAAUUGAAAUAUGAAAUUUGUUAUCUAAAUAAUUUGACACAUAAUUAAGUAAAAUUUAGAAGCACAACACUGAAUUUAAAUAAAUACUGUGAAGUUUGUGUUAAAUUAUAUCGUUCAAAAGUAUGGAAUAAAAGGUGGUGUGUUUUUUUUUCACUGCCAAACAUGGAUUUAGAGUAUGUUUGGCGUGUAAAGUGAGGCCUGCAUGCCUAAGCUGCACAGGCACUUUUUUUUUUCUGUAACUAUUAUUUAAUAUUAACUAUUGGCGUUUGUUACUGUCAAAAUGAGAAGCGUUGGCCUGGAUUUGAAACUUUUAAAUUUAACGGCUGAAAAGGAAAGGUUAUGUGUCAGGGGAAGCGUGGAGAAAAGGGUUUUCUUUUUCUUGUUUUAAUUUAAUUUAUUUAUUCCCAAAUAAUCCAAUGCUUGCAUGACCAUGAAAUUAUCAGUGGUAGUCUUAAUGUAAAAUUUUAGUAAAUUUAUGGAAAGAUGUCAGCUUAAUUAAAUAUGUGUCAUAAUAAUAAUGACAUUAAUAAAUAAUAAUGAUGAUGAUGAUGAAAAUAAUAAUAACAUUGAUAAAUUUUAAUAAUAAUAGU